UACGUAGGGAGCAAGCGUUGUCCGGAUUUACUGGGUGUAAAGGGUGCGUAGGCGGCUUUGCAAGUCAGAAGUGAAAUCCAUGGGCUUAACCCAUGAACUGCUUUUGAAACUGCAGAGCUUGAGUGGAGUAGAGGUAGGCGGAAUUCCCGGUGUAGCGGUGAAAUGCGUAGAGAUCGGGAGGAACACCAGUGGCGAAGGCGGCCUGCUGAGCUCUAACUGACGCUGAGGCACGAAAGCGUGGGUAGCAAACAGG
rnacentral:rRNA from 1 species